CAGUAAAUGGCCUACCACACACAAGGAGGAUUGAAAGCAUGAAGAGUGUCAAAUCUUGUAUCAUGUCACAAAUCACAACUGUAACUUUUGCAUUUGGAGAGGAAGGAGAAAGAAGACAAGGACAUUAAAGAAGAGAGUCGGGGAGUGAAGAGGAAGGAUAGAUGAUGGCAGAGGAAGCAUGAGAGAGGGGAGAGAAGGAGAGAACACCUGAAGAAGAAGAUACUAGAGGUCAGAGAAGUCUUGGGUAUUCCACACGUCAUUGUGUGAAUCUGCACUCAUGAUCAUUAUAACAUGGAGAUGGCUGGGUGCUAUUCACAGCUUCACAAGCAACCCAGGUUCACCAUUGAACCUUCAUCCAGCGAUGGAUGGAGAUGACAGAGACCCACAUUG